UGAAUUAAGUCGUUCAGUCGCCGCCUGUAGAUAAAAGGAUGAGGAGCUCGGUGUUCCGUCAUUUGAACCUGCAGUCAAAGAGAGUGGAGCUGGUCUGUGUCUGGUUUAAUGUUGACGCUUCAACGGCGUUCUUUUUGACGAGGAUGACGCAGACUCCAGUUUUUCUCCAGCACAGUCAAGGUUCCUAUCAGUCAUCACAGAGAAUGAGCUUAAAGGGGACAACACUGUGUGGAGGGUGCUCUAGUGCAUCAGGGUGGAAGAUGGGGUGAAUUCCUCAAGAACUAAAAUCUGCAGUCGUUGCAGAGAAUGGCCUUCAGUAAAAGUCAUAAAGCUGCUCGGCUGUGUUAGCAUGCUGGGUUCAGGGAGUUCUGGAUGGACAGAAGCAGAUGUGGAUCAGCACCACUGCACCUGAUUCUGGGAUGAACGUCUUCAGUUAUGCCCACCAGCUGUAAAUCCGUUGUGUCACCAAAGCUGCAGCCGGCUGAAUGGAUGUUUCUGUGAAGGAUAGACCUGCAGAUUCUCCAGGACUGGUGUUGGUGGUCAGAGUUCCUGAAGCUGGGCAUUUAUUGCCACGGAUACAAGGCUAAUCUGUGGAUCCUCCAGACUGUUAAAGCUGGCUGGACGUCAACGUUGAUGGUGGACCUGCAAUCAAAGAUAACUCAGCUUUUUUCUUUUUUUUUUGCCCUGCUCUUUGAAAGUUGACUGUAGUCUUAUCUUAAA